GCAAAGGUCCAUAGCUCAGUUGUAUAGCAUCUGUUUUGCAUACAGAAGGCUCCAGGAUGAAUCCCUAGCACCUUUGUA